AAAAAAAAAAAAAAAAAAAAAUCUGUCAUAUUGUUGUAAAAAAAGAAUAAGUAUUUGUUUGUUCCAUGAUG
rnacentral:ribozyme from 14 species